CUUGCUAACCACCCCAAAACCAACGGUGAGUGUGCCAGCUCUCAGGCCAAGGCCAUGAGCCAUUUAUUUCCCUCAAGUCUGGGCUGCAGCAGCAGGGCUGGGCCCACCCUGUGUCACGGAGAAUGAGCUGAUUCUGGGACCAAUUGCGCUGUUUUUUUAGCUGUGAGAGGAUGGCCAAAUUAAGACACAAAACUAACAAACACGACAACGAACUCAGCAUACACAACCCAGAUUCUUACUACAAGAGCAACAGUAACAUCUUCUUGAAACAUCUUCAGCUGUGAAGAUUUGGGGGAGAAAAUAAUGUAUCCACUGGAGCAAUUUCUAAGAAGACCAAUCAAUCCUUGGACAGAAUAACAGAAACAGCCAUCAACAGAGGAAGGAUCAGAAGGAAGAGAGCCUAACAAAAUUCUCUCAGGACACAAAGUUGGUAGGAAGUGAUUUGGGUUGAAAUCAAGAGCUUGAUUCAAAGACUUUUCCUUGGACCCCAUUUGACGUUUCUGUGCGGUAAUGAAUGUACUGUAUAGAUAAUUAAAUAAAAGUGUGCAUUAGGAGAAGUGAUGAGAGAGAGAUGACAUCAAAUAAGCAACUUACUGACGAUCUAUGUGGAGCAAAAUCAUGACCAGAAUCAGGAAACAGGGUGAUGAUUUUGUCUACCCACAUCCAGAAAGAGAGUCUCUUUCUAUUUGGUUACAUUAAACCUGUCCUAAAGCCGACGUUGAAUUAAAGCUCUUCACUGACAGAUGAACUUUGAAGAAAAAGCCCAUAAAACCACUUGUUUUUAAGCAUCCAUAAAAUUGGUUGGUGUUCCCUGAAGCUCCUCAGGGUGAAAUCAUCACCUGCUGAUCACUUCGCUGACAGCGAGUGAACUUUUUAUUUAAUAGACGGUGGCCAACGUGAGCACCACUUGGUCUGAUUCAGCAGCUUAGGCUCCCUCUACUAAACAUUAGCAAAGGCACUGCUGUCCAUGGAAAAUGCACCUCUGUUUUCUCUUUAAUUUUCUGGUUCACGUCCUUUGGAACAGAAAUCUUGAAAUGUCAGAGUUGUAGGUGGAGCCUGCCAUUGCGUAGUCUUCCUUUUGAGUCCCAGUUUGGCCGUUUUCUAGGUAUUAACCUCAGGGAAAAGACUGGCCUUCUCUGAGCCUAUUUCCCCACGAGAGAAAAACUCAGUUACGUUGGCGUUAUUUUAGACAUGGGCUUGCUCUGAGGGGGAAGCUGUUUGUACAGCACUUGCCGGGAUGUCUGGCUGUAUUGAUAGUGUUACUUCUGUUCAUUCUCUUAGCAGUUUAUUAUUCAGUGUAUGAUGGGCAAUGUGAUAAAAGCUAAGUAUUCAAAAA
ensembl:lncRNA